rnacentral:rRNA from 1 species
AUUGAACGCUGGCGGCAGGCCUAACACAUGCAAGUCGAGCGAGCGGCGGACGGGUGAGUAAUGUCUGGGAAACUGCCUGCUGGAGGGGGAUAACUACUGGAAACGGUAGCUAAUACCGCAUACCAUCAGAUGUGCCCAGAUGGGAUUAGCUAGUAGGUGGGGUAACGGCUCACCUAGGCGACGAUCCCUAGCUGGUCUGAGAGGAUGACCAGCCACACUGGAACUGAGACACGGUCCAGACUCCUACGGGAGGCAGCAGUGGGGAAUAUUGCACAAUGGGCGCAAGCCUGAUGCAGCCAUGCCGCGUGUGGGAAGAAGGUCUUCGGAUUGUAAAGCACUUUAAGGUGGGAGGCGUUACCAUCAGAAUAAGCACCUGCUAACUCCGUGCCAGCAGCCGCGGUAAUUC